rnacentral:lncRNA from 1 species
GUUGUGUGGCCAUAGACCAACCUGGUGGUAGCUGCUGUCCACAGCAGGCACAUCUUCACAAGCUCUACUGGGCUCCCAUGAUUUUAUUUUUAGGACGAUUUUAGCCAUUGCUUAGAGGAUAAUAUAGAAUGAAAAUAGGAGCAGAUUUUCCUACUCUGAAAAUUAAAUCUAGAGGGAUCCUUGAACUUCUCACGACCUGAGUUUUGCACCAAGCUUCUCUCCUGAGAAUGGACAUGGGGAUCAAGUUCAACACAUAGUCAGAGAGGGCGUGAAAGAGUUCUUAGAAUUUGGGACCACUGGCCCUCCUUCCAUGUUACCACCCAGCACCUCUUCUUCGGUAGCAUGAUGGAUGACAGAACUAUUUAUGAACUUCUCAGCCUUCAGCUGCCUGGAUACAUGGAGCACGAGCGUUUUAGUUUUUUACCAGAACUUUACCACUGUUGCCUAAAGAGACAUUGACAAGGGAAUAUGUCUAAUAUUGGUGGGAUUUCAAACAUAAAUAAUUUCAAAACCCGUGUUGUAUCACCCCUACUCUUCAUUCUGUAGCAAAAAGGAUAGGACAUCACUACCUGCUCAGGAAAUGCCUUCGUUCUGCUCCUCCCCUGAUCCCCUACCAGUAGUCACAGGACCUUCUCAAUUUCAUUCAGUUCAGAAAGGUCUUUUGCCCCUUAAUCCAUUCACAGAAGAUGAAAUUAUGUGUAGUAACUUUUUAAAAAUCUUCAAAUCCCGGCUAUAUUCCUUAAAGCUGUGACAAAGUGCUUGAGCCUCAAAAUCCUAUUUUGGAAAAUUGGUGAUGACAAUGUCUACUUCCCAGUGUUCUUAGAAGCCAUUAGGGCUGCCAUAGGCAGCAUUUUUACAUCAGUGCCUAUCAUUGAACUAAAAACAAUUGCUUUACUGAUCCUAUCUAUUUCCCUGAGAUAGUAAUCCUUUGACACAUCAGUUUGUAUUACUGGAAUAAACACUUCAGUGUCCUGGUAUUCCAGUCUUUACUGCCUUCCUCCCUUCCAAUCCAUUCUCCACUAGCUGCCAGCUUAAUAUAUCCAAAUGUUUGCCAGUUUCUUAAAUCAUCAUGGCUGACUGUUUACUCACAGAUUAAGUCCAGGAUCCCUAAUUUGUAUUCUAAGCAAAUCUGCUUUGGCUUCCAUCUUUUCUCCAGUUACUCAGACUUACAAUGCCACAACCACACAGAGCUGAAAGUGGUUUUAAACACACCUGGUAUU